UUUAAUGGCAUUUUAAAUCAACAAAAGCCGUUAAAUUAAUAAAUUUAGUGGCAUUUCUCUCAACAAUCAAAGCUAAGGUUACACUUUUAUUUUUUUUAAUAUAAAUGAAAAAGUAAUGUUUGAAAUAUAUUUUUCUUUCAAUAUUUACACUACAAUUACAUUAAAUAUCACAACAUAUUAUUGAAAUACAUAAAACUUAAUUCAAAUUUAUUAACUGAUUAUUAUAAAAUACCUAAAUACAUCAAUUGUUUAAGUACCUCAAUAAGUAAUAAAUAUACAAUGAAAGGAAGGGAUCAACUUACACAAAAAUUUUACAUUUUUUUUAAUUAUUGAUUUUAAUAAAUCCAAGAGAUGAAAUUAAUCCAUUUUUUUUCUCUUUUUCACUUGACUCCCUAAACCCUUGGAUCUAUAAAAAUCAAUUAUUAAAAAAAAUUUAAAACUUUUUAGUUUUACACUGAUAUAAGUUGAUCCUCCCCUACAAGGAAAUAGUGAAUAUAAGUUAGGGUUCCUAAUACUACCAUUUUUCCACCUCCCGCAAUAUCAUCAAUAGCAUGAGUUACUUCAUCUACUUCAUGACAAGGAGGUUGCCAUUUGCCACCAUGAAUUAAAUUAUAUAACAUUAAUAUUGAACGAGCAUUUGCAAAAGAUGCAUCAUACCUUUUAAUCCUUGAUAAGAGCAACCACAUUGUCCAAUGACAAUCGCCCUAAACAGAUGCAUCACAUAACGAAGAAAGGACAUUUAAGAACAUAAAAAAAUAGUUUAUCAAAUAUAACAGUACAAUCUAGUAAAGACAUUAGUAAACAAGCUGACAAUAUCAGAAAGCUUUAAGACAACCCACGUAUAAACAUAUGUCACGUUUUACGCUGGAGAAAUUCAUAACAAAUUAUAGAACGAGAAAAUCAUUUCAAGCAAAUAAUCUUCAAAGUACCUAACAUUUUACCCAAAUGAAUGAUUUUGAAAUUAAAAAAAUACAAAGCCCAGAGAACCUAUUGGAGAAGCUAAUGUAAAAGGUUUUGAACUCAAUUAUGAAAAUGAAAGUUUAAAAGAAAUUUUAGAAGCCAUAGAAGAGAAUUUUCAAUGUCUUACACACUAAAGUAAUAAGGUAUAAAUGGGAAUGACAAGAACACUUUUACAUGUCAAGAGUGAAAAAAAAGGAAAAAGAUUACAAGAUAAUUAUUUUUGUAGUUUGUCCAUUAAAAAAACUUAAUCAUAAGCAACAUAAAGAACUGAGGCUAAUAUGAUAUCUCUAAAUGGUAACUAGUAAGCAUAAAGUACCAUAGCAGCAGGCAAGCAGCAAGAUUUCAUUUGUUUUCUGUUAAAAAUAGUGGAAAACUUCCAUCUGCCUCAGAAAUGUCCAAGAAAUAUCUUUUUCAUCAUGGAAAAACAUAACACUGUCUUUACCCUUCUUCUAAUUCAAGGACCAUUCUGAUAGAUUUUCACCAUUUACACAAAGGGCACCUCUAGAAUUUCAUUCCAAACUAAAUCAUUUUUUUUUAAAUAAAUGCUAAGCUACUAGACUUUUUGGUCGAAUUUGCAAUAAAAUCUCUUAUUAAUCAAGUAUCACAAACACAUAUGGUACUCCAACAAAACAUAAUGCAUUUUUAUAUAGAUCCAAAUUUCAUGUGAUUGUUCCAAAACUAAUAUAAUUACCUAGAAGUCCAACAUUUCUCUUUGUCGCUUAACUUGCUUAGUAGUUUUCUUAUUAAUUCAAAGGUCAACUUAUAAAAAGUUAAAGUUAAAAUAUCCGGAACAAAUUCAGCCAUUUGAAAUCCUAGAAAGAAGCAAGGAAAGAGAACAUCACACUUGAACAUGAUAUAACCCUAGAAUUGUCAUAAUAUCAACUUCUAAUAAUUUUAGUCCAAAGUCAAGCAACGGCUGCAAAUCUGUUUAACAUUUAUUCAUCAAAACUGGGUAUUAUUAGAGUUUCACUUCAUUGGGUACUUGUAACUGGAAACCUUAAACACAAGUACCAAAAUGAGUUCAAAAUUCAACUUUGUCAAAGUUACGUUUCUCGUUACCUUCUCCAUGAAAGAAACUGCUACCCUAGCAAAAUAGGGGAUGUUGGCACAAGAGGCUUCAAAACUAUCUCAGGUGCUGCACAUAUUUCUACAUCUAAAUGCUGAGAACAAUGUUGGAUACAUUUUUAAGAUACAUCUAUGCAAGCUUCCAGAGAUUUAUAGUAAUUAAUAAUAUUAUUAAGUAUAACAGCAUAACCCUAAACCACAUUUAGUAUAUUUCUAGUAAUCAAAUAGAAAAUUACAACUAAAAAAAGAGUAAAUUUGAAGAACUCACCUAACGGAGAAUCGACCAAGCUAUUUCCACAACAAAACCUUUGGAAGUUAAAGCUAUUAACAGAGUGAAAAAGAGAGGAGAAAGAAAAUCAAGUUACAAAAAGUUGAGUAAAAUCUUAGAAUCGAGCUAUCAGUAAAGAAAAAAUGUUGGAAUGAAAACUGGAAUCGAGUUAUAGCAAAUCUAGCAAAAGUUGUUGCACAAGCAAUUGAAUAUCAUAACACCUCAGGUAACCAACGGAGCGAGAAGGAAUGGAGAAAGGGAAUAAAGUUAUAAAAAAUUGAGCAAAAUUUGGGAAUCGAGCUAUAGACAGAAAAGAAAUGGUAGAAUGAAAACUGGAAUUUGAGAGUGAAGUUACUGGAAUGAUGUGGUUAUUGAAAUAAAUGGUUAAAUUUUGUAUUACUAUAAUUUGGCAGUGAGAAAAAAGGAAGAAAAGAAUUUGGGGAGAAAUCAAGAUGAUGAG
rnacentral:lncRNA from 1 species